UCCAUUAAAGCAAAGUAGCUGCUGCUUUGAUAAUAUUCUAGUGUGCUGUGCUCUCACGGAGCUGCAAGGGAGCAAUGGCUGAAGCCAGUUGCAACAAGACAAGUCCAUGUUACACUGACCUCAGAAGUCUACUAAAAAAUCUACGCUGCUACCCUCACAGAAGGAAGAGCAGUUCACACUAUAACCCUAGGAACCAUCUCUAUAGACAUACAUAUGGUAGACACAGUUUUGGGAGAGGUGCCCAGGGCUUAACACCAGCUUCAACUCCGAUCAUAUGGUAUUAUAUUUAUUAUCUCCCAUUCAGCUGCUAUAUUAGUAAACUAAGUUUUUUCCUGUAGCUCAUUGCUGCUGGUUUCCUCGGCCCGCCUCUCUACCUUUUCCCUUUCUCUCCCUGCACUUCCCAGGGCAUGGAUCUGUGGGUCUCUUUGCUCCCUUGUCACAGAGACAUCAUUCAAUAUCAUUCAAAUGUACACUCCUAAUUAUAACCUUGAAUAAAAAUCUAAAGUUUGGAGUGCCAGGAUUUUCAAGAGUGCAGUGACUGAAAUUCCCAUUAGCAAUUAAGGAUUGGUUGGGAAAGGGUUUUGUAUUUUAGUUGAUGAUGAUGAUACUCACAUCUGAUACUCACAUCUGUGUAAAAUCAGAAUGGAACCCAAAAAGUCCAGCAUUUGGGUCCUAUUCUGGAAGAGAAGGUUUUUGUAUUGAGAGACAGACAACUGCUGUGCAUCUAAUUUCCAAACCUUGCCUUCCAUGCCUUUGUUCAUGACUGUGCUUCAUGCACACAGGCAAAAGAAGGAAAAGAACAUAACCUGUUUACUGAUCAGAGUAGUUCCUUUAGGCUGAAUGCAAACAUGGCGUAUUCUUAUGAGAUGCUUGUAAAAAUUUAUUUCCAAAUAGCAGCAGCAAGCGGUGGUUUCCAGCACUUCUGAAGCCCUGAGAACCGACCUUUUACUCAACAGUAAGAGCACGAGCCAGCUGGGGUCUGUUGAAAUAAACUCUUUCUUCCUUGAUGUAUUUUAACAACUCCAGUUUUGUUACAAGUGUCUUCAAGAUGGCAUCUUUCUCCUUUUUGCUGUGGUUGGUUUUUUGGUUUGUUUGUUUUGGUUUGUUUUGCUUUGUUUUCCCCCCAGGACUUCAGUUUUCCGUGCUAGUGGUCCAGAACCUAACAGCGUGCAGAAGAUAGGUAGAAGUGCAUCAUCUCUGUUGAGCAUGUACUCCCUUCAGAAGGAAAAAGAGACUCAAAACUUUUGAGUUCCUCCUAUUUCUAGUGGAAGGAGGUUUCUCUGGAUGUUAUCUUUUGUUUGAAUACAUGAAGGGCUGAUGGAAUCAAUUACAUCUAAUUCUUCUCUUUUCAGACCUGACAUAAGAAAGCACAAAACCUGCAGCAGGUUUUGCCUAGUGUUUUGCACAUACAUCACUCAAUUGAGAUUACAAUUAGCUCAGCAGUGCAGGAGAGAAGAGAAGGUGAGUUCUGGCUCAUCAUAAAUAUGCAUGAAGAGUGCCCAUAUCAAUGGGAGUGCAGACAGGGCUAGGCUCUGGGGGUUAUAUUCUCAUAUUCUGAAUCCAACAGGCCUACCGUCUCUUUAAGUAGUUCUCUGAAAUUAUCUGACUUACUGGGGGAAUGCAAUGCCGUUUCCGCAGUGAGGAGCAGCAAGAUGAGUAUUUCAUGAUCUCUGCUGCCAUCUCUUGUCAUUUAUUGGUACUAACAAUUCUUUUGGGGAUUCUCUUAUUCCAAUAAGGGGUUCUUUAAUAACCCCUGUCACUUGUCCUUUAGGUAAUCCUUCCAUGUUUAUGCAGGCUUAGUAGAUAGAUGAAACAAAUGAUAUGUACCAAAAUUGUAACUUUUGUGUUAUAGACUAUUCCGUUUUGCCAAGAGGCCCUCAGCAAAAGAGCAAUUUAAGGGGCCUCUGACAGGAGGUCAAACUGUCCCUCUUUUGGAUUAGGAGGAAUGCAAGUGGUGCUUCCCUACAUUUUUCCUUCCAACUUACCUCUAUCCCAGGACAGCAGGUGUCCAGGAAGGAUGGCCUAGCGCUGAAGGAGCAAAUGUGAGAAUUAGCAAUAUACGCUUAGCUAGCAACAGUUCUUCUUUAGCCAGUAUCUGUAUGUUUAGUGGAAUGUCGGGAAAAUUGUGAGCCUGCAAUACUCAGCCAAUGGGGAACCUGGGCAGGGAGAGAGAAGCGUUGGCUGAUAGGGAAUAAAAGACAUGAAGGCUGUUCUGAUUGUUCUGAUAGCUGUAACACCUUUGCGACAAUGUAAUCUGCCAGGUAGUGGUGGCUUUUAGAUGUAGUAGCUCAGAUACGAUCAGUAAGGAACUUAAUUUUCAGAUUGGCAGACUUUUUAGGAGCUCCUAUCUCCUUAGUUCACUUGACAACUGGUGUCUUUAAAGAACUGGAAACAGCACUUAUGUACUAUACUGUUGCAGAGACUUCAGAAGCUAGCUUCCUGUGACAAACCUAACUGCAGCUUUUCCAUCUUUGAGUAUGUACUGGGGAUUAUUGCCAAGCCUUGUAGGG